rnacentral:rRNA from 1 species
AACGAACGCUGGCGGCAUGCCUAACACAUGCAAGUCGAACGAGACCUUCGGGUCUAGUGGCGCACGGGUGCGUAACGCGUGGGAACCUGCCCUUAGGUUCGGAAUAACUCCCCGAAAGGGGUGCUAAUACCGGAUAAUGUCUUCGGACCAAAGAUUUAUCGCCUUUGGAUGGGCCCGCGUUGGAUUAGCUAGUUGGUAGGGUAAAAGCCUACCAAGGCGACGAUCCAUAGCUGGUCUGAGAGGAUGAUCAGCCACACUGGGACUGAGACACGGCCCAGACUCCUGAGGGAGGCAGCAGUGGGGAAUAUUGGGCAAUGGGCGAAAGCCUGAUCCAGCAAUGCGGAGUGAGAGAUGAAGGCAGUAGGGUUGUAAAGCGCUUUUACCCGGGAUGAUAAUGACAGGACCGGGAGAAUAAGCUCCGGCUAACUCCGUG